rnacentral:tRNA from 1 species
AGAGAUAUAGUUAAUCAUAACAUUUAGUUUGCAAUUAAAAAGUAUUUUAUAAAUUAUCUUUA